UGGCGGGCAGCUUCCCGGAAACGAAAGUUUUUCGGUUCCGGGGGAAGUAUGGUUGCAAAGCUGAAACUUAAAGAAAUUGACGGAAGGGCACCACCAGGAGUGGAGCCUGCGGCUUAAUUUGACUCAACACGGGAAAACUCACCUGGCCCGGACACCGUGAGGAUUGACAGAUUGAGAGCUCUUUCUUGAUUCGGUGGUUGGUGGUGCAUGGCCGUUCUUAGUUGGUGGAGUGAUUUGUCUGGUUUAUUCCGAUAACGAGCGAGACUCUAGCCUACUAAAUAGUUACUGGAUAAUUGCGUCCAGAAGACUUCUUAGAGGGACAAGCGGUGUUCAGCCGCACGAAGCUGAGCAAUAACAGGUCUGUGAUGCCCUUAGAUGUCCAGGGCUGCACGCGCGCUACACUGGAGGAAUCAGCGUGCUGUAACCAUUGCCGAAAGGCAUUGGUAACCCCUUGAAAAUCCUCCGUGAUCGGGAUCGGGAAUUGCAAUUAUUUCCCUUGAACGAGGAAUUCCUAGUAAGUGUGAGUCAUCAGCUCACGUUGAUUACGUCCCUGCCCUUUGUACACACCGCCCGUCGCUGCCCGGGACUGAGCCGUUUCGAGAAAUGCGGGGACUGCUGUUUCGAUACCUUUCGGGGUGGAGAUUCUUUGGUGGAAACCGCCUUUAUCGCAGUGGCUUGAACCGGGCAA
rnacentral:rRNA from 1 species